GGGUGGGAAGCACAGUGGCAGGGUUGGGAGUGAGUGCAGCAGGUGUCUCUGCAGGACAAGCUCCUUCCAAAAUCCAUGCCUUUUUUUCCCCCUUUAUCGGAAUGCCAAGAUGCACAGUCUAAGAAUAAUUUGGGAAUCCAAACCUUUAUCAGGACCUUGCUCUGUGAAGUCAGUACGACCUGCCAUUCCUAGCAGUGUGCCAACAAAGCAGUGCCUGCAGCUCUGAUAACAGGAGCAGCACUGCACUUGUCGCUCUGGGCCUCUGUGUCCGUGCCCCAGGGAGGGCAGCAGAGCGAGGAGGACACAAAAUCCAACCCCCCCAUCCUUGUCAGCAACUUCACAUUAACAAACACUGUGCCUAUAGUGGAGCGGCUGGAGAAAGCAAACCAAACAGCCAUUUGCUGCAAAGCGCCACUCCCAAAAUAGAGAUUAUUACAUGAAACAGAGCGCAGAGAAGGGAAGGUUGAUUCAGAAAAUAGCUUGCAACUGUCCUUUACGCAGCUCAGUACUGUAUGGUAAAUAAUGCAGGAAGGAAGGGAAACUGCAGGCUCCAAGUGGAUGUGCCAGAAAGUAGCACCAGCACCUGAGAUGUCUUUGGAGACCUUCCAACAGUACAGAAGCACUCUGCACGCGUAACCAGUUCUUCUAACAACCCCUGGCCUCCCUUGCUGCUCUGAGGAAUGGAGUUUCUGAGCAUUUGGGGGACUCUGAGCUUCAGCCUGGUGACCCCAGCAGCCAUGCACAGACGCAGAGGGAAGGCUUGGGUGGGUGUGUUCUGUGCAGUUCCAGCUGCAGACGGAGGUGCACAGGGAGUGGUCAUUCAGGGUUCAGAGGUGAGGAGAAGCCCACAUUGUCUUUCUGUUUCAUGCACAGCAAGAUCAUUCACAGCUCUUCUGUGCUCCCAGGUUGAGACAGCACUCCUGGGAGCCCUGGCUUCGGCCCACGGGCUGACCCUGCUGAGCUGCAGGCAUGGGGCUGCAGCUGCUGCCCAACAUUUCUCCCCUGGCACGCAGGCAUUGCUACCAGCCUUCCAUGAUUCCGCCUUCCUGGCUGCUCCCGCUGAGUGAUCAUAUCCAUGUCCCAAAGUGAUGUGAUCUGGCAGCACAAUUAAUUGGGUUAACCGGACUGAUACAGAACAGAUUUCAUGGCAGUGAAUUGAAACACUCGAGCUUUAAUCAGCAGACUGCAUCCACAAAGUAGGGCAGAGCUGCAGACCCAGAGGGCGAGCGCUGCAACAAGAACACAGCAGUUAGGAACAGGGCCACGUGCCCCUGACCUCUUAUCACCCUCUACAACAACGUGGUGACAUGAAAGCAGCACUUCACUUACACUGACAAGAAGACUGGAAGUAAGCUAAAACUUCACUUCCAAGGCCUCUUUGUCCUUCUAGAAGGAGGAUUUAAACCAGUGCUUGCGUGAGCCCAUGGAACUGCCGUGCUGCUUUCCAUAAAGAAUUCCUGCUCGUUACAGAAGUGGGCAGCAGAUUAAUUCAUGUAUAGAUUUUCUGCGCACUGAAAAUAGUUUGUGGAAGCAGGCUGCGUGCUUGGUGUAGUUCCACACUUGCAAAUGUAUCCUCACUGAGAUGCUAAUGUAUGUCAGUGUGCGUGUAUAAGCAGCAGCAUUUGCAUGCUUAAUCGGGCACGUGGCCUUUGUUAAUUAGACAGUCAGUUAAUGCUUUAUGUCUGUGGGUCUGCAUGAGCAAUCAUUUGCCCAGAACCUCAUUAAUUUUACUGGCUGCCCCUCCUGUUGUAGUUCACAAAUCAGGCUGAGCAUGCACACAAAUCCCUUUGAGUAGGUUUCUCUAAUAAAGCAAAUCAGGCAUCAGAGGAAACUCUCAAAGAAUAUUGAAAACAACAAAGCUAUAAAGGCCGACCUGGUGAUUUUGCAAAGCGUCUUUGUGCGAUCAAAUGAGAGCUGCCAAGAGCAGCUGAGAAUUCCAGUUUGCAGCUAGGGGCAGGCAGGGCUGCUCUGUCAUGUAGUUAUGUGCCAUGCAUGUCUGUGUAUAUAUAUAUCUAUACAGCAAAACACAAACAUGCAGUCAUUGUCCCCAGGAAUUUUUUGUGCGUACUCAGUGCAGAUAUCUCUUCUGAGACCUCUGCCUGCAGGACACAGCCUCUGCCACUUACUGCAUCCACAGAAACAGCCCCAAGUGCCCACCAACCCAGGGAGCACGGACCUGGUUGUACAGGUGGGCUGUGUGUAUACAGGGGCAGAGUGGUCCCACCUGCCUGUUCCCUCUUGUGACGCCCUCUCAAGCUGCCCAGGAGAGGGGAAAGCAGCCAAGGGGCUUUGCUGAGAGUGCAGUAAGAGACAGGACACGCCACUCACUGUUCUAGACUGUGGCUGAAUGCAGCAGUGAGGCCCCAGGACUGGUGGUGGCUGUGGACAUUUUCCAUCCUGAUGACCAACAGAGCAGUAGGGUGGAGGUGUGAGAUUCUUGCUUUCUUUUCCGUCUGCAUUCUCUCAUCAACAAAGCAAAGAAUGCCACUGGAACACAGACUUAAAAUGAUCCUGGGGUGAAAUCUUCAUUCCCAGUGACUGCAGUGCAGACAGCAUCGCACUCAGCAUCUUCCGGACGUUGUUCCGUGUAAUUGCUACCCCAGACAGCAUCUUCUAUAGAUAGAAAGACAAAGGUGAAAACAUUCCAGGAGCAGCAGCCUCUCUUUCCCUCCUUGCUAUCGGUGUGUUUUGCUUUUUUCAGCUGCUCUGCUUAUGCAGUACACCUCGAUUGGCGGAGCCACAGUAUGAGUUGUGCCUGUGCUUUUGCCAUCUGCACUGCAGUCCCCAUUACGGAUGCAGCGCUGAGCAGCUUAUUUCACAACUGACUGAAGGCAAGGGGAAAAGCACGUGCGUGUGUGAGGUUAUUCCUUUCAUCAUUCAAAACUGAUUUGGAGGUUGGCAAGGUAAACUGCUCGCUUAACUGUUCUCUGUGAAAAUAAAAGCACCGCUUAUCGUUUCCAAAGGACCAACCUGCAACGCGGAUUUGGGCAUAAUUAAAAAAUGGGUCUGUAUUGCACCAUAAAAAAGACGUGCUCGAUGUUUUAACUGCAUCCCUACACUGAGUUCUUUGUUUAAACUACCCCUGCGCUAGGGAGUGUUACUGCAGUACAAGAAUAUCUGUGGAAAUGUGGUAAUUACGUGGCUAGGUUCCGCCUAGAUCUCUAAACUGGACUGUGUUAUUACUGUGCAAAGGGACAUCUCUGCUGCAGGGAGAGAGUAGUGGCAGUGGAACUUAAAAUACAGGAGCUAUUUUCUUUCUUCCUUUCUUCUUUUCUGCCUUUCUUUCUUCCUUUCUUUCCCCCAGCUGUGCUUGCAUAAAUCUAGACUUAGUUCAGACAUCACAGGAGCUCCAACUGCUUUGGGAAAAAAAGAAAAAAAGCCAUAGAUGUUGUGAAAUGAAUGUCUCUGCCCUGGCUGGGUUGCUGGGAGGACAAGGGUGAGAGAGGCAUGCUGAUGUGACUUUAGCUGCCCUGAGCCAGCUCCAGAAGUAAUGUUUAAUCAAAGCAAGCUGACAUUUGUCUGUUGAAUUGUUAUCAGAAUUGCUUAGUCAUUCAUGUGCCAUUGUGUUUCAGAAUGGAGAGCAGGGGAUUUAUUCAGCUUGACAUGAGCUGCUCCCAGCCGUUAGCAUUUCCCCCAACAUCCGACUGAUAUCUCCAUUUCACACUGCUAAAAGAGUCACCUUGAGGCCGAGGUGCUGCUGACCCCUGUGCACGAGGUUUCUUGUUAGAGAAUCCCUGGGAGAUGCUUUCUUCUUUAUUAUCAGUGAUCUCCAACCUCUUGGAGGGGGGACUGAGGGUUCUGUGUGCUGUUUGCACGCUGC